AAAUGAUGAUGAUUACUACUGAAUGAACCGGUUCCCUAAAACAUAGUGGAAUAGGCUGUCAAUGCCUGAAUGUGACUGAGAUGUGCACAUCUGGGAACAGAAGGAAAACUCUGCUGGCAACACAACAGUGAUCCGACCAGGCAGGAUAAUCAAUCCUUUCAUUACAUAUCCCACCUCCUGACCCCUGUUUAUCAUCCACGUUCCCCAACAGGCUUCUGUGCCAUCCACUUACUCCUUCUUUAAAAUUUUUCAUUUAGAAAUUACUCAUACAAGGAAGUAUUUUAAAAUAUGUGCAGUUUGAAGAAUAAAGAAACACCAGAGAAACCACCACCUCGCCUCAGAAAGAGCAGAAGCUCCUUGGAUAGGCCCCUCCUGCUGGCUCCCACCACCACCGCCAGUGUCCUUAAUCCUGUGGUAACCAUCUCCCCGUUUUUGUCUUCAUACCGUUGGGUCCUGUGUAUGUGCAUUCCUUAAAAACACGUUGCUCUGUGCUGCCGGUUUUUGAGCUUUACAGAAAUGGAGUCAUUCUCCAAGUAUUCUUUGAACCACAGAUAUAUAGAUCUGUCAGUGAACUCGUAUUCAGCACA